UACGUAGGGUGCAAGCGUUGUCCGGAAUUAUUGGGCGUAAAGAGCUCGUAGGCGGUUUGUCGCGUCUGCUGUGAAAUCUGGAGGCUCAACCUCCAGCCUGCAGUGGGUACGGGCAGACUAGAGUGCGGUAGGGGAGAUUGGAACUCCUGGUGUAGCGGUGGAAUGCGCAGAUAUCAGGAAGAACACCGAUGGCGAAGGCAGAUCUCUGGGCAUUAACUGACGCUGAGGAGCGAAAGCAUGGGGAGCGAACAGG
rnacentral:rRNA from 1 species